rnacentral:lncRNA from 1 species
AUGGAAAAAGGCAACACUUCAUUUAAGCCAUUAAAGGAAAAUGCAUUGCAACUCCCCAGCGGAAGUCCAUUCGCUGUAACAGGAAAGGUUUAUUUGCUGCCGAGAGAACCAGACAUGGCUCUCACACUGCUAGGAGAAGCGUACUGCCUGGAACUGCCCACGCUGGCCAGGCACCACAGUGACCAUCUGCAUGAGUUAUUUUAUGACAGGCUGCUGCUGCUGCUAAGUCAGAAAUUAGGAGAGCAUCACUUUAGGUCCAGCAGAACACUUCCCAAAUUGCUUCCAGAGAGGAGACGGGAUCCUCCCAACCACGAGGGGAGCUAGAGAACCACAUGGCUACUUGUUCCCAUCAUGCCUCUCUGCCCUACACCAAGCUGAAGCUCCUUCCUGCCCCCAGCCACCCUUUCCCACAAUCUUAGACCCAUAUCGCCAUCCUGAUUCCCAUCUCGAUUCCUGUUCCCAUACCCCUUGGAACCACCUCUUACCCAACCUCUCUUCCUCUCUUCCUAUACUGGCUGAAAUAGCCACUUUUGAUGGCACCACACCAUACCCUCUUCUUCCACAAAGCCAAACAAAGAGCUUCCACCCUUGGGUGACACUUCCUAACAGCCCUUCUCUCCCAUUAGUUGAAGACCUUGUCUCCUGGCUCAUCUUCUUUGAGAUGCCAAGUCCAGCUGUCAUUCUGAGCGGCCUUAGAAGUCCCCAAGCACUCUGCCUAGUUGACUCGUUGUCCUCAUUCUAUAAGCUUCUUCUCUGCAUUACUGCUUUCCUCCCAAAGAUCCAACCUGGACCUUCCCAUCACCACUCAGAACUGCUCCACCUCUAGCCAGACCUCCAAACACCUCACUCCACCUCUUUUCAUCCUCUAUAAACUCCUUUCCCGUCAAACCUCUCUCAGAGCCUCACUGACUACACCAACGCCCCCAUUUAACCUGAUGCUCCAAUCUGCUGGUCCCUCUGUUUCCCACUUCUCUUGAGUCCUUUGUCUCUAUCUCCUUCCUCCUCCAUUUUCCACUGACCACUCAUUGGCCANNNNNNNNNNNNNNNNNNNNNNNNNNAUAUACUCACCCAGCCAAAUCCCAUCACCUCCUCUGUGCCCAUCUCCAGGUCAGUCAACACCAAGGAAAAAACCACAUAUUUGCUAAA